AGGACGAACGCUGGCGGCGUGCUUAACACAUGCAAGUCGAGCGGUAAGGCCUUUCGGGGUACACGAGCGGCGAACGGGUGAGUAACACGUGGGUGAUCUGCCCUGCACUCUGGGAUAAGCCUGGGAAACUGGGUCUAAUACCGGAUAUGACCUGCUCUCGCAGUGGGGGGUGGGUGGAAAGAUUUAUCGGUG
rnacentral:rRNA from 1 species